UUUCUGUAGGUGGACCUGCAGAAGGAUCAUUAUUAAAACCAAAGAGUGCACUUCAUUGUGGCUCAAAUUUUUUUUUUUAAACCCCAAAGCUUGUUUGUGUGACCAAUGUGUCAUUGCACUCAGGUAAAAGUAACAUUCUUGUUGCAUUAUCCCCCCCCCACACACACACUUUUUUUUUUAUAUAUAAUAAACACAUGUUAAUUUAAGAAUGUAAAAAUUGAUUAAUUUGAAAUAACUUUUAACAAUGGAUCUCUAGGCUCUCAUAUCGAUGAAGAACACAGUGAAAUGUGAUAAGUAAUGUGAAUUGCAGAAUUCAGUGAAUCAUUGAAUCUUUGAACGCACCUUGCACCUUUUGGUAUUCCAAAAGGUACACCUGUUUGAGUGUCAUGAAAAUCUCUCAUCAAAUUAAUUUUUUGGUGGAUUUUGAGUGUUGCUGUUAUGUAGCUCACUUUAAAUAUAUAAGUUCUUGCUAUGUGUGGGACUGACCUGGUGUAAUAUUAUUACUUCAUCAAGGAAAGUCUUGUGAUUAAAAUAUAGUAUCAGGACUCCUAAACUGAGAAAUUUCUCCUUCCUAUUUUUAAGACCUCAAAUCAGGUGGGACUACCUGCUGAACUUAA
rnacentral:rRNA from 1 species